UCAUUAAAUCAGCUAUGGUUCCUUAGAUCGUCUCAUCCCACUCGGAUAACUGUGGAAAAUCUAGAGCUAAUACGUGCUUACAAGCCCUGACCUCGCGGGAGGGGCGCAUUUAUUAGAUCAAAACCAAUCGGGGCUUGCUCCGUCUGUUUGGUGACUCUGGAUAACUUUGUGCUGAUCGCAUGGCCUAGAGCCGGCGACGUAUCUUUCAAGUGUCUGCCCUAUCAACUUUCGAUGGUAAGCGAUUUGCCUACCAUGGUUGUAACGGGUAACGGGGAAUCAGGGUUCGAUUCCGGAGAGGGAGCAUGAGAAAUGGCUACCACAUCUACGGAAGGCAGCAGGCGCGCAAAUUACCCACUCCUAGAACGGGGAGGUAGUGACGAAAAAUAACAAUACCGGACUCUUUGAGGCUCGGUAAUUGAAAUGAGUACAGUUUAAAACCCUUAACGAGGAUCUAUUGGAGGGCAAGUCUGGUGCCAGCAGCCGCGGUAAUUCCAGCUCCAAUAGCGU
rnacentral:rRNA from 1 species